UACAGAGGGGGCAAGCGUUGUUCGGAAUUACUGGGCGUAAAGGGCGCGUAGGCGGCCUUCUAAGUCGAACGUGAAAUCCCCGGGCUCAACCCGGGAACUGCGUCCGAUACUGGAAGGCUUGAAUCCGGGAGAGGGAUGCGGAAUUCCAGGUGUAGCGGUGAAAUGCGUAGAUAUCUGGAGGAACACCGGUGGCGAAGGCGGCGUUCUGGACUGUUUCUGACACUGAAUAACGAAAGCCAGGGGAGCAAACGGG
rnacentral:rRNA from 1 species